rnacentral:rRNA from 1 species
GUGAGGGCUGUCGCUGACUCAAAGUCGUGCACGCCCGAGUGUGUCCUCUCACAUAAUAAUCCAUCUCACCCUUUGUGCAUCGCCGCGUGGGCACCCUUUGGGAUCAUCUCGGAGGGGGCUCGCGUUUUCACACAAACCCCCCUUUUAAAAGUGUAGAAUGACCUCAUUUAUGCGCUAACACGCAAUCAAUACAACUUUCAACAACGGAUCUCUUGGCUCUCGCAUCGAUGAAGAACGCAGCGAAAUGCGAUACGUAAUGUGAAUUGCAGAAUUCAGUGAAUCAUCGAAUCUUUGAACGCACCUUGCGCCCCUUGGUAUUCCGAGGGGCACACCCGUUUGAGUGUCGUGAAAACCUCAACCUCCUUGGUUUCUUCUGGAGACCAAAGGCAGGCUUGGACUUUGGAGGCCUUUGCUGGAACCUCUCUCUUUUGAAGGCCAGCUCCUCUUAAACGAAUUAGCAGGGUCCUCUUUGCCGAUCCUCGACGUGUGAUAAGAUGUUUCCAUGUCUUGGUUUCUGGCUCUGUCACUUUUGGGACCCGCUUCUAACCGUCUUGACCUUGCAUCGAGACAAUGUUCGAGCAUGUCUCCCUUCUCGGGAAGCUCCCUCGACCCCACGAACCCUUGACCUCAAAUCGGGUGAGACUACCCGCUGAACUUAAGCAUAUCAAUAAGCGGAGGAAAAGAAACUAACAAGGAUUCCCCUAGUAACUGCGAGUGAAGCGGGAAAAGCUCAAAUUUAAAAUCUGGCGGUCUUUGGCCGUCCGAGUUGUAAUUUAGAGAAGCGUCUUCCGCGCUGGA